GAUGAACGCUGGCGGCGUGCUUAACACAUGCAAGUCGAACGCUGAAGCCUGGUGCUUGCACUGGGUGGAUGAGUGGCGAACGGGUGAGUAACACGUGAGUAACCUGCCCUUGACUUCGGGAUAAGCCCGGGAAACUGGGUCUAAUACUGGAUAUGACCUCCUACUGCAUGGUGGGGGGUGGAAAGAUUUAUCGGUUGGGGAUGGACUCGCGGCCUAUCAGUUUGUUGGUGGGGUAAUGGCCUACCAAGACGACGACGGGUAGCCGGCCUGAGAGGGUGACCGGCCACACUGGGACUGAGACACGGCCCAGACUCCUACGGGAGGCAGCAGUGAGGAAUAUUGCACAAUGGGCGCAAGCCUGAUGCAGCGACGCCGCGUGAGGGAUGACGGCCUUCGGGUUGUAAACCUCUUUCAGUAGGGAAGCAGCCCCUCGGGGUGACGGUACCUGCAGAAGAAGCGCCGGCUAACUACGUGCCAGCAGCCGCGGUAAUACGUAGGGCGCAAGCGUUAUCCGGAAUUAUUGGGCGUAAAGAGCUCGUAGGCGGUUUGUCGCGUCUGCUGUGAAAGCCCGGGGCUUAACUCCGGGUGUGCAGUGGGUACGGGCAGGCUAGAGUGCAGUAGGGGAGACUGGAAUUCCUGGUGUAGCGGUGGAAUGCGCAGAUAUCAGGAGGAACACCGAUGGCGAAGGCAGGUCUCUGGGCUGUUACUGACGCUGAGGAGCGAAAGCAUGGGGAGCAAACAGGAUUAGAUACCCUGGUAGUCCAUGCCGUAAACGUUGGGCACUAGGUGUGGGGGACAUUCCACGUUUUCCGCGCCGUAGCUAACGCAUUAAGUGCCCCGCCUGGGGAGUACGGCCGCAAGGCUAAAACUCAAAGGAAUUGACGGGGGCCCGCACAAGCGGCGGAGCAUGCGGAUUAAUUCGAUGCAACGCGAAGAACCUUACCAAGGCUUGACAUGGACCGGAUCGGCGCAGAGAUGUGUUUUCCCUUCGGGGCUGGUUCACAGGUGGUGCAUGGUUGUCGUCAGCUCGUGUCGUGAGAUGUUGGGUUAAGUCCCGCAACGAGCGCAACCCUCGCUCUAUGUUGCCAGCACGUUAUGGUGGGGACUCAUGGGAGACUGCCGGGGUCAACUCGGAGGAAGGUGGGGAUGACGUCAAAUCAUCAUGCCCCUUAUGUCUUGGGCUUCACGCAUGCUACAAUGGCCGGUACAAUGGGUUGCGAUACUGUGAGGUGGAGCUAAUCCCAAAAAGCCGGUCUCAGUUCGGAUUGGGGUCUGCAACUCGACCCCAUGAAGUCGGAGUCGCUAGUAAUCGCAGAUCAGCAACGCUGCGGUGAAUACGUUCCCGGGCCU
rnacentral:rRNA from 1 species